CUGCAGUGGAAAUUCACCGCUAAUCAGAUGUAGCCUAGUUGUUAGGGAUUUGAGACGUGUUUGGUGAGGAGUUAAUAAAUGUUCAGUGCGUUCCGUGUUAAACAUUCUUUUGGCUACUCGUUGAUACACCGAAAUUUGCCAUUUUUUCGUACCAACCUGAAGGAUACUUUUUCACGACACACACGAUUGUUUGAAAGUUGAUUUUUCACUAGACGUUAUUUGAACGUACAGUACAGUGCAAUUCCUAUCCGCAGCCGCGCAGCCCCCAGUCCUACAGUGGGCAAAAAUAGACAGUUGAGAAAAUCUGUUCAUUGUGCUAAUCUGUAUGCUAAUCUGUAUGACCUAUCAACGGACUACUCAGUAUUAAAAUACUCUUCCCUUAAGGAAAUUUUCAGCUAUGGACUUUUUAGAUGACUCUUGUAUCGGAAAUAUUUUCCUGCUUCUUGGAACCAGGAACAUAGGAUGUCUUGAUGCCAACCAAGUGUCAUUGGAAAGAUUGUCAAAAGUUGUUAAGGAGAAACCUAAAGUUGGAGGACGAUACAUUGGUUUCCCGUUACUAGUAUUGUAAAACAAAUGCGGAGAUUGAUUCCAAAUCUUCAGCUUCUCCGGCAGACACCCAUCCACAAAGCCAUUGGCGAUAGAUGAUAUUCACAGCAGGUAUGACUGCGUUGUAAAUUGGUAUAAGUUUUACAAAGCCAAUCAGCAGAUUAAUAUCACGUGUCUACUGUGAAAGAGAUCAUGUGUCUCAACGAAAAUGGCUCUCUCUGUUUGCGACAUCAGACCACCCGGUGUGUCAUUCUGAUGCAGAGCUCUUGAAAUCAAGUUGAACGUUUUGAAACAUCUCAGGCCAAAGCUGAAGUUCUAGAGGUAUUAGAAAAGUCGUCGCUUUUUGGUUAGUUUCUUCGCCGUCCGAUGCAUUAUUGGAAUUAUGUUCACUUCCUCGACGUCAUUAUUCAUGUAAUUUAAUAACUUUGUGCUUCAAAAAAAAUUGUACUUAUCUUAAAUUUCAAAAAGAAAACUUUGAUGCAUUAUUCUUAUCUCGAGGUUACAUCGAUCCGCAAAGGUAAAUCGGAAGAGGGUAUUCUUUUCCUUGACAUAAGUACGGAAAUUUAAGCAUUAGCAACAUCUGCGGCUAAACAGAUCAAAUGCACGAGGUAUCCCACCUCCUCCGGCAACUUACCAUCCAGCAACGCAUCCAUCAAUAGAAUGUUAAUGGAUAAAUGAAUAGAAGGUCAGUGGUUCGACCCCCAUGAGAAUGAACUGGUUGAACUAAACAUGAUUUAUGUUGACUCAUGUUAUUGUUGCCGUUUACGACUGAAAAUCAUGACAUCAAUUUUCACUCCACCCAACUUCUAUUAUUUCUAAGUGUCCACAUGAACUACAUUAUAUAGAAAUACAGUCAAUUUGUACAGUA
rnacentral:lncRNA from 1 species